GGGUUAGUGGCUCAAUGGUAGAGCGUCGUCCUGAUAAGACGAAGGUCGAUGGUUCGAUUCCAUCCUAACCCA
rnacentral:tRNA from 1 species